UACGGAAGGGGCUAGCGUUGUUCGGAAUUACUGGGCGUAAAGAGCGCGUAGGCGGCUUACCAAGUUGGGGGUGAAAUCCCGGAGCUCAACUCCGGAACUGCCUUGAAAACUGGUAGGCUCGAGUCCGGAAGAGGGGCGUGGAAUUCCCAGUGUAGAGGUGAAAUUCGUAGAUAUUGGGAAGAACGCCGGUGGCGAAGGCGGCGCCCUGGACCGGUACUGACGCUGAGGAGCGAAAGCGUGGGCAGCAAACAGG
rnacentral:rRNA from 1 species